rnacentral:rRNA from 1 species
UGCUUAACACAUGCAAGUCGAACGGGAUGCUUAGGCAUCUAGUGGCGGACGGGUGAGUAACGCGUGAGAAUCUGGCUCCAGGUCGGGGAUAACAGUUGGAAACGACUGCUAAUACCGGAUGUGCCGAGAGGUGAAAGAUUUAUCGCCUGGAGAUGAGCUCGCGUCUGAUUAGCUAGUUGGCGGUGUAAGGGACCACCAAGGCAUCGAUCAGUAGCUGGUCUGAGAGGAUGAUCAGCCACACUGGGACUGAGACACGGCCCAGACUCCUACGGGAGGCAGCAGUGGGGAAUUUUCCGCAAUGGGCGAAAGCCUGACGGAGCAAUACCGCGUGAGGGAGGAAGGCUCUUGGGUCGUAAACCUCUUUUCUCAAGGAAGAAGAAAGUGACGGUACUUGAGGAAUAAGCAUCGGCUAACUCCGUGCCAGCAGCCGCGGUAAUACGGAGGAUGCAAGCGUUAUCCGGAAUGAUUGGGCGUAAAGGGUCUGCAGGUGGAACUGAAAGUCUGCUGUUAAAGAGUUUGGCUUAACCAAAUAAAAGCGGUGGAAACUACAGAACUAGAGUGCGGUAGGGGCAAAAGGAAUUCCUGGUGUAGCGGUGAAAUGCGUAGAUAUCAGGAAGAACACCGGUGGCGAAAGCGUUUUGCUAGACCGUAACUGACACUGAGGGACGAAAGCUAGGGGAGCGAAUGGGAUUAGAUACCCCAGUAGUCCUAGCCGUAAACGAUGGAUACUAGGCGUGGCUUGUAUCGACCCGAGCCGUGCCGGAGCUAACGCGUUAAGUAUCCCGCCUGGGGAGUACGCACGCAAGUGUGAAACUCAAAGGAAUUGACGGGGGCCCGCACAAGCGGUGGAGUAUGUGGUUUAAUUCGAUGCAACGCGAAGAACCUUACCAAGACUUGACAUCCUGCGAAUCCCAGUGAAAGCUGGGAGUGCCUUAGGGAGCGCAGAGACAGGUGGUGCAUGGCUGUCGUCAGCUCGUGUCGUGAGAUGUUGGGUUAAGUCCCGCAACGAGCGCAACCCUCGUUUUUAGUUGCCAGCAUUAAGUUGGGCACUCUAGAGAGACUGCCGGUGACAAACCGGAGGAAGGUGAGGAUGACGUCAAGUCAGCAUGCCCCUUACGUCUUGGGCUACACACGUACUACAAUGCUACGGACAGAGGGCAGCGAGCCAGGGAUGGCAAGCGAAUCCAGAAACCGUAGCUCAGUUCAGAUCGAAGGCUGCAACUCGCCUUCGUGAAGGAGGAAUCGCUAGUAAUUGCAGGUCAGCAUACUGCAGUGAAUUCGUUCCCGGGCCUUGUACACACCGCCCGUCACACCAUGGAAGUUGGUCACGCCCGAAGUCAUUACCCCAACCGAAAGGAGGGGGAUGCCUAAGGUAGGACUGGUGACUGGGGUGAAGUCGUAACAAGGUAGCCGUACCGGAAGGUGUGGCUGGAUCACCUCCUUU